AGAGGACGGCAGUGGGUGAAGGCGGCGUCCAGUAACGCUCGGUAGAGCUCCCGCGGCACACAACUCAACCAACACGGCGAGGAGCUGUGGUCACUCACCACCUCCCGGGCGCACAGCUUCACCAAAGACUGCACCAUCUGUGCACAGAAUGCCCCGGAAAUCACAUCGAUGUUUUCAAAGCAGGAUGAACUGGUCUCCAAUGGGUUUUUAUUCGUCUCAGCCAAUGCCUAAAUGAGUCAAUGUCAGACCUUGUCCAAGCAGCUCUCUUGGAAGUCUCUUAGUUCUUUAGAGGCAAAUGGAAGUUGUAAAAUUAACCCUCCUCAGCCCACAGUAGACCAAAGUAAAAACGAAACGCCUUUAUAAAAAUCCCCAGAAAAUAAAAAUGUUUUCCCCCUUAAAGAGGACAGAAGGAAUUGUGUGCAAAGGAUAGGUCAUUUGGCUGAGGCACAGGUUGUCAUCCCUGAGAAAGCUUUAGACGCACAGAGCUCGGGGGAACCUGCAAAACAGAACAAAGAUACCUUUUUAAAAGACUAUGGCAAACAGAGAUGGCUCACAGACCUAUUACAUAUUGUAAAAAUCACAAUUAUUUAUUUUUUCCCUGUUUUAAUGGUCUAUGACAACUUGAGCCUUUAUGAAUUACGUGGUGUAUGAAGAUGUCUUCAUUAAAUCAAUCUCACCUGUCUUCCA